rnacentral:rRNA from 1 species
AAUAGAUACCCCGGUAGUCCAUGCCGUAAACGUUGGGAACUAGAUGUAGGGCCUGUUCCACGGGUUCUGUGUCGUAGCUAACGCAUUAAGUUCCCCGCCUGGGGAGUACGGCCGCAAGGCUAAAACUCAAAGGAAUUGACGGGGGCCCGCACAAGCGGCGGAGCAUGCGGAUUAAUUCGAUGCAACGCGAAGAACCUUACCAAGGCUUGACAUAUAGCAGAACGCUCUAGAAAUAGAGAACUCUUUGGACACUGUUAUACAGGUGGUGCAUGGUUGUCGUCAGCUCGUGUCGUGAGAUGUUCGGUUAAGUCCGGCAACGAGCGCAACCCUCGUCCUAUGUUACCAGCGGUUCGGCCGGGAACUCAUGGGAUACUGCCGUGGUCAACACGGAGGAAGGUGGGGAUGACGUCAAAUCGAUCAUGCCCCUUAUGUCUUGGGCUUCACGCAUGCUACAAUGGCCGGUACAAAGGGCGCGAUACCGUAAGGUGGAGCGAAUCCCAAAAAGCCGGUUUCGAGUUCGGAUUGGGGUCUGCAACUCGACCCCAUGAA